rnacentral:rRNA from 1 species
UGGGGAAUAUUGCACAAUGGGGGGAACCCUGAUGCAGCGACGCCGCGUGGGUGAAGGAGUAUUUCGGUAUGUAAAGCCCUAUCAGCAGGGAAGAACAAUGACGGUACCUGACUAAGAAGCACCGGCUAAAUACGUGCCAGCAGCCGCGGUAAUACGUAUGGUGCAAGCGUUAUCCGGAUUUACUGGGUGUAAAGGGAGCGCAGGCGGCGCGUUAAGCCUGGUGUGAAAGCCCGCGGCCCAACCGCGGGACUGCAUUGGGAACUGGCGCGCUGGAGUGCCGGAGGGGUAGGCGGAAUUCCUAGUGUAGCGGUGAAAUGCGUAGAUAUUAGGAGGAACACCAGUGGCGAAGGCGGCUUACUGGACUGUAACUGACGUUGAGGCUCGAAAGCGUGGGGAGCAAACAGG